GUCUGUGAGUCACAUGAUGUAACUCACAGACUUUUUUUAUUUAUAUCUCUGAACAUUAAAUGUAAAAACCACUUGGUCACACUGAAGCGUCGUAUAUUUUGGACGUAUUAGAUGAGAUCACUACAGAUGAUGUAUAACUGCAGUUAGUUAGUGUUAGUGAGGGGUAAUUAACCCAGAUGGAAAAUGUUAUUUAUGACUAUACAGUUUUAUGUUGUUUUUGUUUAUGAUUAUGAUUUCAGAAGAAUAAUGUAGGUCAGUAACAAGCUCUCAUGGUGGUUUCUUAUAAUGCAUUUAUCAAUUUUCUGAAUGUUUAUGCAUUUCACAUGGCAGCAUGGAGCCUGCAGCAUUAAGAGUGCUUACUGAGCAGGAAAUCAGGAAGUUACUCCUUCCCUCAGGAAUCCCAAAUACAGUGGACGAGCUGAAGAUGGCUGUUAAAGAGACAUUUAAUAUUACUGAGGUUUUCAGUCUUCAGUAUAAGGACUCUGACUUUGAUGUCUUCUUUAGCCUUACUUCCACUAACCAAAUUCAACACAAGGAUACAAUCAAGGUUGUGUGAAUUCUGUUUUCUUCUGUGAUUCUGACACUGUAUGCCACCAAUGAAGAAAUCCCCAGUGCCAGUACAUCACUGUCAGCAGAUGAAGUUUCCUCUAUUGCAUCCACAGCAUGUUCAAAGCCCCACAUAUGCAUCCACAUCCAUCUCAUCUGAUGUCAUGCAUCCACAUCUGUCUCAUCUGCAGUCAUCCUCUCCCCACAAAGUAGGCCUGACAGGUUGCCAUGGCCCCAAGUGUUCCUGUUCCCAUUUUUUCCCCCAGAAACAUAGAUGAUGCUUAAAAGGCCAUGGAGGCCCACUGGAGAGAUGGAAGCCUUAUGAUUGUCGAAAAUGUGAAGCAAGAGAUAAAUGACAAGUUGGUUAAGGCUAUUCAGACCUACACAGCAUAUCCCUCUUGGGUACAGAUUGCCAGUAUGGCUGAAGCACUGAUUAGAAAAUACCCUUGUCUGAAAGAACCAGGUUCUUUCCUGGCUAUUAUGGAUGGCAAAUGAGCCUAAAGUACAAGAUAGCUGAUGACAGAAGAUGAGUCAGUAAGUUUGGAUUUCCUGAAGCUGCAUGUAACACAAUGAAAAACGAAAACCCUGAGGACAGGAAGCCUGCCAAAAAAACCCAAAAAAAACCAUGCAAAGCAGAAGUGAAUUAAGCGAACAGAGCUUGGAACAAGUGAGAAUGGAAAUGCUGACUGAAGUGAAAAACAGAGACAAUACUGUUGUGAUCAAAGAAAAAAUGGCACAAAACUUUGCCAUGAGGUGGACAAACUGUGUCCCAGUAUUAUGGAUAUCAAAGAGAGAUGGCCCAUCCUGUUCAACAUCCUCCAGGUAGGUCAUCAAACCCUAAAUCUAUAUCCUCAACUUGGGAAACAUGAGAUUGAACCUUGUUUGUGAAUGUCCUAUAGCACCAUUAAACAGCAAAGACAAUAAUGUGGUUUAUAUUGUGCUGAACAUACAAUAUAUUAUACAUACAUACAUACAAUAAUAUUUAUAUGUUUUCUGCCUGUCAGAUAAAUGAGGAAUUUAAAAGAAUUACCACUGUGCAUCUGGAGCCAACAUUUAUCAAGAUGUUAGGCCACUACUCCCCAAAGCUUGUCAGCAUAUUCUCUUCUAAAGGAGGAGCACUUGGGCAGACUCCAAAAAAAUCUGUAUUAUCUGUUAUCUGUAAUCAGUUUCAGUAUAAAUAUGUGAGACCGUUUCUCCUCAGUUCUACUCUUUUUCCACUUCAGAACCCUGAUAAAAGCAUUGACCAGACAAGAGACAGUGUCAUUCAUUGCUUAGUCCAUGACCUGGGGGAAAAGGAGGAUGAUCUCAUCCAAGAGAACAACAUAAGCAUCUAGAACUAUUCAGAACUAAGUGUUUAUUUACAAUACUACUUCAUGUUUGUUGUUAAAAUAUAGAUAGUUUGCACUGAAUACAGUUUAAAUGAUAAAAUACAGGUAGAUAAUCCAUAAUCAAUAUUGAGAAGCAUUAAAUGUUUGUGUGUUUGUGUUCCACAGUGUGAUGAUGGAAAUGUUCAGCAAGAUCUCAUGCAGCACAUGAUGAAAAUCACCGGCUGCAAUAGGGCCGGGUGCAUGUGUGUCGUUUACCUGGGGAAGAGAUGGCACUAGGACGCACUAUGGGAAGAAGGCAAGCCGGCAGAGGCAGAGUGAUGCUCUGGGCAAUGUUCUGCUGGGAAAGCUUGGAUCCUGGCAUUCAUAUACAAUGCAGCUACAGCUACUGAUGUGACUCUCGCGCCUGUGAAAGAAAAAGCAGGACAAGGAGGACAAGGACAAAAGCGGAGUACAAAACACACAGCAUUGUGCACUAUUAAUUAUAUCCAAAAACAUUCUCAAGAUCACGUGCAUGCUUGUUGUCUUAAUAUUGUUUGAUUUGUACGGUUUGCACUUCCUAAUACAUGGCCUGCACUUGCAUCCGCCUCAAAUACCUGACACUUGCACAUUGCAGAUUAUUCUUAUUUUUAUAGCAUUACUACAGAUUAUUCUUAUUUAUAUUGUAUUACUACAGAUUAUUCUUCUUUACACAUUGUCUUGCUUUGCUUCAGGCAAGAGAAGAUGGUCAUGUUGUGAUAUUGGUGAGGACACGUAAUAAAAAUUUGGAUGAUACAUCACAAUAUGUUGCGUUAGUGAUAUAUGGUGCAGUUCAGUAUAAUGAUAUAUGUACACAGGUGUUACACAGAUGUAGCCUGGUCUACUUAUACAGUUCAGUAUAUGACAAUAUUUAUAUAGUGUCACUCCGUGUUGCAUUGAGGAGGAGGCUCCUGAGGUAGGCAGCAUGUUUUUGGUCAGAAAUAAAAUCUGUUUUAUUCAGAAGGCAGCAUAAGGACAAGAUUUCUUCUAAUGGUCUCCUUGGUGUUAUUUCACUGGAAAUAAAAUGAACCACUAGUGCUAGCGAUUGCAUAGUUGGAGAGGUUAAAUUAGGAUUUAGGAAUUGGCAUAAUUACUUUAAUUAAACAUUUAUUAAGUCAGCCUUAAAUUUUAACAGAGAAAAAUAAU